rnacentral:sRNA from 1 species
GUACAAUCUUGUUUGCAAAGCAGGCAUCGAGAAUGCUAGGUUCCCCA